CAGAGCUCCACUUUUAUAAGCUCAUGUAAAUAUAGUUUUCUCUAUAAAGACCCUAUCGUCAAAUAUUGUCUCCCUGGGGGUUGUAUUUUGGAGGGACAUACAUAUUCAGUCGGUUAACAAUGGCAAAAUCUUGGUUACCGUGCAGUGGGCCACACGGGGGUGCUGUGGGACCACUGAGCUCCAAAUGUCUCUGGGGUGUGCACAGAACCGGGAGCCUGGGACAUGGAGGGUUAAGGAGCAGCCUUGCUUGAUGUUUGUGCUCACUAAAAAUGUGAUGGCAGAUACGUAAAAUUGCAGGUGUGCCUCUCUUCAGGGAGCCAUGCACUUCAGCUCUGCUUGGGUUAGGGAGUCUCCGUGAGCUUGCAAGGGAGAAUGAAAAUGGGCUGUCCAAUGCUGGAAUGGGACAACCUGCAUGUCCCAGGCAGGGACAGACAGAGGAAAAACUGCCUGGAGGGAAAAGCAAAGGAACUUGGCGGGGGACAUGCAGCCUAACCUCAUUCCAGCUCAGAGCAGCCCAGUCUGACCCCAUAUGGUAUGUGAGAGUAUUUACAGCACAAAGCAGAGAUCUUGGAUCGGGUAAGCCAGGGGCAUAACAAGGAAGGCAGGGUGCAUGAGAACCUGCAGAGAUGACAUCAGAGCAGUGACAUCACAGCCUAACAUCCGAUCAGAGAUGCGAUGCCCAAAACCCCAGCUCUCAGAGAACAAGUAUCCCUCGCAGGGUGACACCUGACCAGCUCUGUCCCACCCGGCCAUGGGCUCCAGAUACCUCUGAUCGGAAGGCCUUUGUCUCCUGGGACCCGGUGAGUCCUUGGCACAGGUGGGAUGUCUCUGAAGCACCCCUCAUCCAAGGCCCCUCAGGCUCCCUCCGGUGUUCUUGCCCCAGCUUUUGUCUCAUUCCCUCACAGGCCCAGUGGAUUCUGCUGUGCAGAGCAGAGAGCAGUGGACCUCAGGAGGCCUGCAAGGGGAGGACAUAGGACAGUGACAUCAUAGGAUGCCCCUCCCACCAGGAAAAGCGAGGCUGAGAAUUCAGCUCUUCCCCAGGAGGACCAAACCCUGAGCACAGACACAGUGCUGCCUGUGCCUUGGUGCCACGGGCUCCAUGCUGCUCUGCUGGGCCCUGCUUUGUCUCCUGGGAGCAGGUCCAGUAGAGGCUGGAGUCACUCAAACUCCAAGAUCUCUGAUCAAAAUGAGAGGACAGCAAGUGACACUGAGCUGCUCCCCUAUCUCUGGGCAUAGGAGUGUGUCCUGGUACCAACAGACCCCAGGACAAGGCCUUCAGCUCCUCUUCGAAUACUUCAGUGAGACACAGAGACAAAAAGGAAACUUCCCUAAUCGAUUCUCAGGGCGACAGUUCUCUAACUCUCACUCUGAGAUGAAUGUGAGCACCUUGGAGCUGGGGGACUCGGCCCUUUAUCUUUGUGCCAGCAGCUUGGCACAGCCCUACAAAGCCAACCACAUUCUGUGCACAAACCUCCCCGGCCCAAUGUGGAGCAACCUCAGCCCUGACAUAUCUGUGAGAACCUGGGGACUGCAGGGAGAAAGAAAGGCAAUUUAG